ACCCCCCCUUACUGUGGGAACUGCUUUUGAGUUGACGCUCUCAUGCUUGGCUCCAGCCUGAACUACAGCACCAGCUGUGUCGCAGCCGGGAAUGUGCCUGGCCAUGGGCCCCAUUGGUCCAGAUGUGGACCAAGCACAGGCUGACUUCCCAGCCUCACCCCAGACCUGCCUCAUCACUGCUGACUCGCCUGGCAGUCACUGAGAUGUACCUGACCUUGGUCAACAUCACCGGACCUGAUACCGUCCCCGAUUCACCGACUCGUGCAACCAGCUUGCCCCCAGACUGGGGUCCGGAGGUCAGAGCUGACUGCCACCCCCAGAUAUUAGAAUCCUUCAGUAUCUGUAAAAUCAGAAUAAACCUGUACCUGUUUUAGACUGAAUCAAAACAAAAAUGGAAUCAACCAGGAGAAGUAUCAUCAGAUUCUGCCUUUCACUGGUUGACCAGACCUCUUAAUGCACACUUCUACCCAGAUGUUUGCUGGUUGUAUGCAAACUGCAACUGCCUUUCAAACAAGCUACACAUUUAUCAGAAAACGCACUGGACAUCAGAAGAGAAUUUCACUAGCAGCAGGUUUUCCAGAUGAUGAAGAGACAGAAUGCUAUGAAAACCUAAUUUACUUUUUGUGUGAGGUAGAAGGGUUAUAUUCCUCUGGGCCUUUAUUCCUGUGCAUGCCCCUUUGCAAAUGAAACACACCGCACAAGUACUGUAUGAAGAAAAGCAUCAUGAAUACUAAGUUAGUCUUGAGUUGCACAGGAAUAUAAAAUGCAUUGGUUCUAGUUAAAAUCGAUUUUGCCUUGGAAAUGAGUAUUGGAUUCACUUUCUCACUCUCCCCAAAACACUUAGAUGGAAAAUACCACUGUAGCUGCUGUGUAUUAAAGUGGUAAAUAUACAACCAAGCAAUCCAGAAACCUUGCUGGUUGGUUCAAUAACAGUCUAUUUCAUUGUUUGAUUGUACAAAGGGCUACAACCUCUAGAAUGAAUUCACAGAGUUAAUCUGUGUUGCUUCAAAAAAUGAACAACUCCUCUCCCCCCUCCCUCCAGUACUAACAAGAUAUAAUUGGAGCAGAGUAGUUUCCAGAUGUUUGGAGUCACCAGUUACUAUGGCAUUAUCAAAAGAAAGGAAAAGAAGAAAUGGAAGAGGAGCACUCGUUAAAUCCAUCCCAUUUAUGUUCUCGAGCAGAAUUAAAAAAAUGUUUUUCAUUUUUCCUUUUCAAAAAAAGUUCAGGAAGGAAAGGGGCUACAUGAAAUUGUAGAAUCAAAAUUUUGUGUACUGCUGUAACACAUGCAGCAGCUGCUGGAUUCUUUAUGCUUCCCUUUAUAUCAAGUUAAAAUAAAUUACUAAUCUAAAAUGUUUUAAUAAUUACUGACUUCAGGUAAAGAUACUGAUGAGUAUUGAUGAGAUUAGGUACACUGAUAGAACCCAACUUUCACAAUCUUUUGAAGGCCCAAAUGACUGAAUAUCUUAAUGCUGCAGAAUUAAUUCAAAUACUUUUCACAUGGGAAAGUCAAGGAACUAUAGGACUUGACAAAGAUUUUCAAGGUUUCCGUAUGGACUUCUUCACAGUCUGUAUGUAACUGAAAUGUACAACCAGUUUCUGCUAUAUUGUAAAAUAGUAACAUUUAAAGAAGGGAUAUUGAUGGUACUGAUUCUUGUCACCUAAAAGGGCAGAAUGGGUCAAUCUGGGGCUGUAAAAUUUAUUUUUAUAUGCAUCUCCUCAGUACUUCUUAGGCAGCACCAAUUGUACCCCUUAGCAACAGAUUUUCACAAAAGUAGAAGAGAUAUCAUUGGAUUGAUUAAGACUGAUAUUAUUGAUCUAUUAUGAUUUGAUCAAUUGAGAAGGAUAAGCAAAUCAUAACUUCCUUUGCUUUACUUUCACAGAAUCACAGACUGGUGGGGGUUGGAAGGGACCUCUGGAGCUCACCCCGUCCCACCCCUGCAUGAGCAGGCACCCCCAGAGCAGGGGCACAGGGCCGCGUCCAGGCGGGGGGUGAAUGUCCCCAGGGAAGGGACCCCACAGCCUCCCUGGGCAGCCUGUGCCCCUGCUCGGGCACCCGCACAGGGAAGGGUUUUUUCUCAUGUUUAAGUGGAACCUCCCGUGUUCCAACUUGUGCCCAUUGCCCCCUGGCCUGUCAUUGGGCACCACUGAAAGGAGUUUGGCCCCAUCCUCUUGACACCCACCCUUUAGAUAUUUAUAAGCAUUGAUGAGAUCCCCCCUCAGCCUUCUCUUCUCCAGGCUGAACAAACCCAGGUCUCUCAGCCUUUCCUCAUAAGAGAGGUGCUUCAGUCCCCUGAUCAUUUUCACAGCUUAUGUUGUUAUAUUCUAAUGAUAUAGAUAUACUUAAGGUAUAGACUGAACAUAUUGCCUAGGCAUUUUGCUUCAAUAUCAAGUAACUUUCCACCUGACUUGGCAAUAAAGUUAAUUUGGCUUUGCAGUGCCAGGUUACAGAUCAAAAAAUACUGUGGUAGAUUGAUACUAUCUCACUCAGCUGAUUCAAAAUUGCUCUAAACAUUUGACUAAUUAUUUGGCACUGGCCAUUUUCUUUCCUUGCUUGUGCCUGUAGAGGUUAGUCUGAUAGAUGUAAAACCAUGUAAACUUGUACUGCUGGAUAUUGCAAUAAUUGAUAGAUCUGGUAUUGUUACUGUGGAAACAGAGCCUGAAUCAGAGGGGAAAAAAAAGUGCUUCUACUAGGCACAAUUUUCUAACAUUUUCAUUACUUUAAUUUUAAGACUCUGGGGCAGGCAAAAUAGCCCUGAAAUUUAAUGCAAAUAAUAAACAAAAAAAGAAUUACCACAUUCAGUUAAUGAACAAGGGAGACUAAAGGUCAUAUAGAAACCAAUAUGAACUGAAAGACCUUAUUUGCCCAAGUCUCUGUGCAGCCACAGGGUGACUCAUUAGAUAUUCAGAGAUGGGAAAACCUACAGAGGUAGCCCUGAACUGAGGUGACUUUUUGCCUAGGCUACUUUAGGUAAAUAAAUAGCCACCAGAGUUCACCAGUAGUGCUCAUCAGAGGCCUAAGAUAUAUCUGUGAGAUCACAGAGGUCUUGGACAGGCAUAAAGGAGAAGAGAUAUGCCUGAGAUAUCUCAGGCUUGGAAUAUAUAUUGUUAAUGAAAACAUUUAGUGAAAAUUUUCUGUAAAGCUGCCUAGGUGCGAGUUGUGAAACAUAAGUAAAGAACUAAAAGAAAAUUAAGGCAUGGGAAGUGAGGAAAAAAUGAACUUAAAAGAUGCAAAUUGAAACAGAGUUGUGUAUGGAACUAGGGCACAAAGCUUGGAAAGAACAUUCUCCAGCCUAAGAAACCUCCUGCCUACUGCCAAAUACUGCAGAGAGAAAACACCCACUGUGUUGGUGAACACAGUGUACUACAGCACUAGUACAUUGAUGGCACUGGUGUGCAUUAACACAGCAGGUGCUGUGCAGUGAAGGAACUAAAUAUUCUAAGAGUCUUCACUCAGCAGAAUCUGUUGCUUCUCCAACUCCCAGCUGUUUUUCUCUUUCACUGUGGAUGUUGUAGGAGUGCACAAUCUGGAUUAAAGUACAGCAAAAGUCCUUACCUUUCUAUUGUAAUUCCUUUUUUUUUUUAAAUUCUUUGUGCGACUUCUGCAAAUCCACCCGCUAUUUCUCUUUGUUGUAUGAAUCACAGAUGUUUGCCUUUCAUGAUUAACUUAAUAUUUUCUUGAAUUUUCAUGCAAACUGUUACGAACUGAGAAUACUCUUCUGUUCAGUUUUAUGCUUUUGCACUAGGUACAGGCAUUUUUAUAUUAUGUCACAGCACACUUUUACUAUUAUCCCCAUUUACCUUUUUACCUAAUCAAACUGCAGCUAAUACCUAUAACAAAACACUUAUUCAUUUCUGUAUCCUUUUGAGGUACUUUUGAUUCUUUAUGUGAAAUGCCACAUUUUGCAUAUCUGUACCAAACCCUUGCGUAGUUGAAUUCUGAGCUUCAGAAAUUUAUACUGUAUGAAAUGUCAUUCUUCAGGGUUGAAUACAUUCUGAUAAAAUACAUAGAUAUCUUUUCCCAACUCCCCAAAAUACAUCCUUUUCCCUGAAAAAUCUCCAAAGCUUUCUGUAAAUUACUCACUUUAUGGUUCUAUAUACUCUUUCAACAUAAAGAAAAGCACUUGUUCAAACUAAGAA